rnacentral:rRNA from 1 species
ACCAAGGCUUCGACGGGUAGCCGGCCUGAGAGGGCGACCGGCCACAUUGGGACUGAGAUACGGCCCAAACUCCUACGGGAGGCAGCAGUGGGGAAUAUUGCACAAUGGACGGAAGUCUGAUGCAGCAACGCCGCGUGCGGGAUGACGGCCUUCGGGUUGUAAACCGCUUUCAUCCAUGACGAAGCUUUUGUGACGGUAGUGGGUAAAGAAGCACCGGCUAACUACGUGCCAGCAGCCGCGGUGAUACGUAGGGUGCGAGCGUUGUCCGGAUUUAUUGGGCGUAAAGAGCUUGUAGGCGGUUUGUCGCGUCGGGAGUGAAAACUCGGAGCUUAACUUUGAGCUUGCUUUCGAUACGGGCUGACUUGAGGGAGGUAGGGGAGAAUGGAAUUCCUGGUGGAGCGGUGGAAUGCGCAGAUAUCAGGAGGAACACCGGUGGCGAAGGCGGUUCUCUGGACCUUUCCUGACGCUGAGAAGCGAAAGCGUGGGGAGCGAACAGGCUUAGAUACCCUGGUAGUCCACGCCGUAAACGGUGGGUACUAGGUGUGGGGGACAUUCCACGUUCUCCGUGCCGUAGCUAACGCAUUAAGUACCCCGCCUGGGGAGUACGGCCGCAAGGCUAAAACUCAAAGGAAUUGACGGGGCCCCGCACAAGCGGCGGAGCAUGCGGAUUAAUUCGAUGCAACGCGAAGAACCUUACCUGGGUUUGACAUAUGCCGGGAGCGUUCAGAGAUGGGCGUGCCUUUUUGGGUCGGUUUACAGGUGGUGCAUGGCUGUCGUCAGCUCGUGUCGUGAGAUGUUGGGUUAAGUCCCGCAACGAGCGCAACCC